rnacentral:misc_RNA from 1 species
UGCACGCUUCACCCAAAGGCAACCGGAUCGACUUUCGCCGGCGGUAUCCGUGCAUGUCGAUCGGGCUGAGGGCGGAGAGUCGAGAGCUGAGGGCCAGCGACUCCCGAGUUCUGUCUGGCUCUCGACCCUCAACCCUCGACUCUCAACCUUCCCCGCUCCCGUCAAUUCCUUUGAGUUUCAGGCUUGCGACCAUACUCCCCAGGUGGGGGACUGAAUUCGUUCCGAAUCGGGUUGAGCGUUGAGGGAUGAGAGUUGAGCGAUGAUGCGGAAGGCGGCCGGGCAGUUUGAGGUAAAGCUUUUGCUUCGAGAGUAAACACAUCGGAGCAUCUACUCUCUAGUCCCCAUCGUUCAUGGCCAGGACUA